AACUUUUAGCAACGGAUCACUUGGCUCUCGCAUCGAUGAAGAACGCAGCGAAAUGCGAUACGUAAUGUGAAUUGCAGAAUUCAGUGAAUCAUCCAAUCUUUGAACGCACCUUGCGCCCCUUGGUAUUCCGAGGGGCACACCCGUUUGAGUGUCGUGAACACCCUCAACCUUCUUGGUUUCUCGACCGAGAAGGCUUGGACUUUGGAGGUUAUCCUUGCUGGCCUCCCUUUGAAGCCAGCUCCUCCUAAAUGAAUUAGUGGGGUCCGCUUUGCCGAUCCUUGACGUGAUAAGUAUGCUUCUACGUCUUGGGUUUCGCACUGUUGCCCUGGAACCCGCUUCUAACGGUCUUCGAAGGAAGACGAUGUUCGAGUUGCCUCGCGACUUGACCUCAGUGACCUUGACCUCAAAUCGGGUGAGACUACCCGCUGAACUUAAGCAUAUCAAUAAGCGGAGGCU
rnacentral:misc_RNA from 1 species